rnacentral:lncRNA from 1 species
GGGUAAUGUUUCUACAGUCCUCCAUCAAAGGGAAUGCAGCUUGCACUCACGUGUGUGUGCAUGCAUGCUUGUGCUGUGUUGCAUUGCAGUCAGUCUCCUUCAUGUUUCAAGGAGCUGCAAAUAGCCACUGGGCUUAGGAUCUGAUGUGAGAGAGGAGCCCCUGGGAGACUGCUUGAGUAUUUUCUUAUAUAGGAAUGUUUGAUCACCAGGCUGAGAACGGGCUUGGGAAGGGAAUCUGGAGGUGGUUAACUGAGAUGGGAGUAUUUUUACACCAGAAAUAUGCUGUCCGCCUGUUUGCAGAGUAGGAAGGAUGCAGUGAGCACCAAAAGCUUGGCAGGACGAGAGUGUUCAUCCUUGUGGAUGUGAACUCUCCAUCUGUCUGAGGGUGGAACUGUUUGGAUCCAGCAUCAUUAUUAGAAGCAGAAAAUAGAGUUCAUAAAACUCCUUCCUUAUGCCCCAAAAAAGUAAUUUGAGGAAACCUAGUUGAGAACAAACUAUUCCUGCAUUGAUUUCCCCCUGUGGCUGAGGGCAUUGGCAAGGGAAGGAAAUGUGGUGCUUGGCAGGGGCUGUGCAGAGCUGGGGUGGGUCCUUGCUCCUCUCCUGUAUAAUGACUGCAGGGCAGUUAGGAACAGGAGCACAGCUGGGUGCCUGUGCUUAUCAGCCAGAGGGGCUGAGAGCUUCACCUGGGCUGUGGCCCUGCAGGCGUGCAUCACAGGGCACAAGGAGGGCACAGAGCUGCGGCUGGAGCUUCUCAGGGCCAGGCUGUGGCAUUGCCAUCUGCUGAGCAUAAGGAGCUGCGAUGGUCACACACACAGCACUGGGAGCUGGUGGAUUGGCAGUGGGGAGGAGCUUUUACCACUCCAGGAUCAGGAAGAACAAAGUCUCCUUCUAACGCCAGCUUUUACUGACAAGAAAAGCAGCCUGUGAUGGGCCCAACGGAGUC